CUGGCUUGCUAGUGCAGCUCCCGCUUCCUGGUGCAGUGGUGAUGUGAUGGCAAGCUCUCUCUGUGUGUGAUAGAGUUGAGUGGGAAGUGGCAUUCUUCACUUCAGGAUGAAAAGGAGUAGGCUGCUAGACUGUGGGUCUCAAAAUUCCAGAUGAGGAGAGAUUUACUGAGACAAAAGCACGUGACUCUGAAUGGGGUGGAAGAAGCUGAUGAAGUUUGCCAGAAACAAGCACCAGUUUGCGUGUGGGGGUGUCACUGUCCAAAGAUUUGCUAGGAGAAGAAUAUGGCUCUUCCCUCCAAUCCCCAAACUAGACCUUGGACCAUCUCUCCACUGGACCACCAGCUACAAUGUCAACAGCUCCACAACUUGCAAGUCUUGCCAAAGUGUUUUAAAGGAUGAUUUAUUAAAGGAAAAUCUAAAUUAGCAAUUGGAUAUAUUCCACUAUAGGAACUUAAGACCACUCAUUAAUUCUACAACGACUUUCUGAGCACCUACCAGUGGGCCAGGCUGGGGAAAC
rnacentral:lncRNA from 1 species